rnacentral:rRNA from 1 species
GACGAACGCUGGCGGCGCGCCUAACACAUGCAAGUCGAACGGAGCUGAGAGAAGCUUGCUUUUCUUAGCUUAGUGGCGAACGGGUGAGUAACGCGUGAGUAACCUGCCCUGGAGUGGGGGACAACAGUUGGAAACGACUGCUAAUACCGCAUAAGCCCACGAUCCGGCAUCGGAUUGAGGGAAAAGGAUUUAUUCGCUUCAGGAUGGACUCGCGUCCAAUUAGCUAGUUGGUGAGGUAACGGCCCACCAAGGCGACGAUUGGUAGCCGGACUGAGAGGUUGAACGGCCACAUUGGGACUGAGACACGGCCCAGACUCCUACGGGAGGCAGCAGUGGGGGAUAUUGCACAAUGGGGGAAACCCCGAUGCAGCGACGCCGCGUGGAGGAAGAAGGUUUUCGGAUUGUAAACUCCUGUCGUUAGGGACGAUAAUGACGGUACCUAACAAGAAAGCACCGGCUAACUACGUG